rnacentral:rRNA from 1 species
GAUGAACGCUGGCGGCGUGCCUAAUACAUGCAAGUCGAGCGAACUGAUUAGAAGCCUGCUUCUAUGACGUUAGCGGCGGACGGGUGAGUAACACGUGGGCAACCUGCCUGUAAGACUGGGAUAACUUCGGGAAACCGAAGCUAAUACCGGAUAGGAUCUUCUCCUUCAUGGGAGAUGAUUGAAAGAUGGUUUUGGCUAUCACUUACAGAUGGGCCCGCGGUGCAUUAGCUAGUUGGUGAGGUAACGGCUCACCAAGGCAACGAUGCAUAGCCGACCUGAGAGGGUGAUCGGCCACACUGGGACUGAGACACGGACCAGACUCCUACGGGAGGCAGCAGUAAGGAAUCUUCCGCAAUGGACGAAAGUCUGACGGAGCAACGCCGCGUGAGUGAUGAAGGCUUUCGGGUCGUAAAACUCUGUUGUUAGGGAAGAACAAGUACAAGAGUAACUGCUUGUACCUUGACGGUACCUAACCAGAAAGCCACGGCUAACUACGUGCCAGCAGCCGCCGUAACAC